rnacentral:rRNA from 1 species
AACGAACGCUGGCGGCGUGCCUAACACAUGCAAGUCGAACGAGAAAGGGGCUUCGGCUCCGAGUAAAGUGGCGCACGGGUGAGUAAUACGUAGGUAACCUGCCUCUAAGAUUGGGAUAACCUGUCGAAAGACGAGCUAAUACCGAAUAAGACCACAGCUUCCUCAGAAGCAGGGGUCAAAGGUAGCCUCUACUUGUAAGCUAUCACUUAGAGAUGGGCCUGCGUACCAUUAGCUAGNGGUGGGUAACGGCCUACCAAGGCGAAGAUGGUUAGCUGGUCUGAGAGGAUGAUCAGCCACACUGGAACUGAGACACGGUCCAGACUCCUACGGGAGGCAGCAGUGGGGAAUAUUGCGCAAUGGGCGAAAGCCCUGACGCAGCAACGCCGCGUGAGUGAUGGAAGG